CUCCAGAGCUGCAGAGUUGUGCUUUUAUAGAAAGUUUCCCCCUCGCCCCACUGUGCCUUUCAGCUGACUAAGCACUUCAAUUUGGCAGCAUCGGGUUGCUGUAGCUCCUUGUAUUUUAAAUGUACUGAAGAUGGCACCUUUCAUUUACUGCAGCAGGAAUUGGUGAUGGUUCAGCUUCUGCUAGUCAUGUAUCAUUUAACAAAGGAGACAACAGCACCAGUUUCCCAGAAGAUCUUUACUGUCAUGACCAGGCAUGAAGUUCCCAGAUUCUGUAUCAAGUGAAAGAACGGUUGAGUGCAAGGUGAGGAAGGAUCAGCAACCAUUAUAGGAGAAAGGAAAAAGUAUUUAAUCAGUGACAUCAAAAUUUAAAUAAAAAAUGAGCUUAUCUCAGUUAUAGGAAAGAUAAGAAAGAAAUUGUAUUUAGUAUAUGCCAACAGCUAUUGGAGGCUGCUAUAUGGUGCUUAGAUUUCUACAUACUUCACAUGAAUUACUAGUUGCAGUUCAAGUCCAUCAGAAUUGUUUUGUAUCCUAUUAACCACCUUUUAUUUAUU